rnacentral:ncRNA from 2 species
AGAUUUCUUCGGGGCAGGGUGUAAUUCCCGACCGACGGUGACAACAUAAUGUUGAAGUCCGUGACCCGCGUUGAGCGGUGGAUCCAGUGAGAGUCUGGAGCCGACAGUAAAGUCUGGAUGGGAGAAGAAAAAA